UAAAGAUUCAGUUUUUUUUUUUUUAUUAAAUGACCCAAGAACAAAAUUGCUAUGGAAAUUGUUAAGUACGUAGUAAUCGUUUUACAAAGAAUAUAAAUUCUUUUCUUACAGCACAGCUACAGAAUAUUAUUGAGGAUAUGGAGAUUCAGUGGCAGAGAUUGGAUAAUGGAAUGGAUCUCAACAGAAAUCGUCGGUCAUAGCAACGUAAUCAGGAUAUCCGAAUUCGAGAUCUCCAAGACUCACUCAGAACAGAAGUAUACACUUUUAAAGAAUUCAUACAUGCUGCCGUGAAUCGAGAAGAGCAUGAAUCUUUGUGGCUGAUUCUUGACAGAGAUUUACAAGAACAAGUUCACACAGCUAAAACAUUUUAGCGACUGACACUCAACAAUUAACUCGUUUUACGAGUAAUUGUUAAUUCACAAAAUUAUAAAGAUCACUUUUUUUAUACAUAUUUCAUGUGCAAUUAAUAUUAUUGCUGUUAAUUAAAA